UCACCCGUACAAUUCUUCAAGCUAGAUGCUAUAUGCCUGUUUUACAGAUGAGGAAACUGAGGCAUCUAGAGAGAGAGGAAGUGCCUUGCCUUGCAGAUGGCAGUGCCAGUGUUCAAACUCAAGCCUGUCUGACUCAAGAUUCAUGUUCUUUCUGUUGUGUCCACAGCCUUGAUUUAAAGAUGUGCCUAUGAAACUGUCACCCCAAUCAACAUGACCUUAGAUCUUACCCAAGAGACUUGUCCAGGAUCAUAUAUCAGGGACCACUGGCUGCCACACUUGUCCUUGAACCUCUGCAACCUCCAGCUGUGCCUGCUGACAAUGAAGACCUGCUGCCUUUGUGCUGACUUCCUUGUACAGCUCUGAAAGUCCCCCAAAAGCUGUGUGAUUAUUCUUUCUUUGUGUGCCAGCCUCACCCCAAGGACGGGAGUGUCCAGAGGGCAGGGACUUGCUGUCAUUAUGAGCAUCCUCCAGUCUUCCACACUUGUGCCCAACAGGCAUGAGUCAACUGGGCACGUUGAUGCAUCAGUUCAUUUUUCCUACCGGGAAGCAUUCAGGGGUGUUGCAAGAUGCUUAUACCUUUCAGUUUUGUUUGGGACAGUGGCCCCAGCCCCUGAGCCAACCCCAUUAGGUUCUGGUUGUAGGGCUGGCAGAAACUGGUAGGGGCACUGGCUGCCCCCUGGGGAAUUGUGCUGUUAUACAGGACAGUAGGAGUGGUGAAAUCAGGAAGCCCAGGUCAGAAAGCAAUGAAAUGCUGGCCAGAACACAUGGUCCUAAAAGGGAAAAUCAAUCACACAGUGGGCUCAGAAGAUUUCAGAAAGUGGAGCUUGAGGGGAACCUGGGUGGCUCAGUUGGUUAAGCGUUUGACUCUUGAUUUCAGCUCAGGUCAUG